CUGAGACCUGAUGCCGAGCCGAUUGUGGUGAAGUGGAUGAUCCUAUGCUGUCGAGAAAAGCCUCUAGCGAGUUUCAUGGCGGCCCGUACUCUAAACCGACUCAGGUGGUCAGGUAGAGAAUACCGAGGCGUUCGGGUGAACUAUGGUUAAGGAACUCGGCAAAAUGCCCCCGUAACUUCGGGAGAAGGGGGGCCAUGUCUGGUGAUGAGUCUUGCACUCUGAGCUGGGUGUGGCCGCAGAGACCAGCGAGAAGCGACUGUUUACUAAAAACACAGGUCCGUGCGAAGCCGUAAGGCGAUGUAUACGGACUGACGCCUGCCCGGUGCUGGAACGUUAAGGGGACCGGUUAGUCACAUUUCGGUGUGGCGAAGCUGAGAACUUAAGCGCCAGUAAACGGCGGUGGUAACUAUAACCAUCCUAAGGUAGCGAAAUUCCUUGUCGGGUAAGUUCCGACCUGCACGAAUGGCGUAACGACUUCUCGACUGUCUCAACCAUAGGCCCGGUGAAAUUGCAUUACGAGUAAAGAUGCUCGUUUCGCGCAGCAGGACGGAAAGACCCCGGGACCUUUACUACAGUUUGAUAUUGGUGUUCGGUUCGGCUUGUGUAGGAUAGGUGGGAGACUGUGAAGCAUGCACGCCAGUGUGUGUGGAGUCGUCGUUGAAAUACCACUCUGGUCGUGCUGGAUGUCUAACCUGGGUCCGUGAUCCGGAUCAGGGACAGUGUCUGAUGGGUAGUUUAACUGGGGCGGUUGCCUCCUAAAGAGUAACGGAGGCGCCCAAAGGUUCCCUCAGCCUGGUUGGUAAUCAGGUGUUGAGUGUAAGUGCACAAGGGAGCUUGACUGUGAGACCGACGGGUCGAGCAGGGACGAAAGUCGGGACUAGUGAUCCGGCGGUGGCUUGUGGAAGCGCCGUCGCUCAACGGAUAAAAGGUACCCCGGGGAUAACAGGCUGAUCUUCCCCAAGAGUCCAUAUCGACGGGAUGGUUUGGCACCUCGAUGUCGGCUCGUCGCAUCCUGGGGCUGGAGUCGGUCCCAAGGGUUGGGCUGUUCGCCCAUUAAAGCGGUACGCGAGCUGGGUUUAGAACGUCGUGAGACAGUUCGGUCCCUAUCCGCUGUGCGCGUAGGAAUAUUGAGAAGGGCUGUCCCUAGUACGAGAGGACCGGGACGGACGAACCUCUGGUGUGCCAGUUGUUCUGCCAAGGGCAUGGCUGGUUGGCUACGUUCGGGAGGGAUAACCGCUGAAAGCAUCUAAGCGGGAAGCCUGCUUCGAGAUGAGUAUUCCCACCUCCUUGAGAGGGUAAGGCUCCCAGUAGACGACUGGGUUGAUAGGCCGGAUAUGGAAGCCCUGUAAGGGGUGGAGUUGACCGGUACUAAUAGGCCGAGGGCUUGUCCUC
rnacentral:rRNA from 1 species